UACGUAGGGUGCAAGCGUUAAUCGGAAUACUGGGCGUAAAGCGUGCGCAGGCGGUUAUGCAAGACAGAUGUGAAAUCCCCGGGCUUAACCUGGGAACCGCAUUUGUGACUGCAUAGCUGGAGUACGGCAGAGGGGGAUGGAAUUCCGCGUGUAGCAGUGAAAUGCAUAGAUAUUGUCAAGAACACCGAUUGCGUAGGCAGCUUAC
rnacentral:rRNA from 1 species